ACCCCGUGAGGGGGUGGUGUUGCUGGCUUCUCAGUGACUCCGCAGUGGAAAGUCCCAGCCUCACAGCGCCCUGCCCCAGGGUCGGGAGCCAGCAGCCUUGGGAGAGGCAGGUUCCGACUUUGCUCUCCUCCGGAGAUGUCCCUUUCCCUUCCCAAGGAUACUGAGAUGCUGGAGCUGAGGAACGAUGGGGGAAAGUGUCCUUGCCAAAAGAGACGUGGACUUGGGGCUUUUAUUUCUGGAGCUGGCUGUCUAGCUCUCCUAAUGAGCGAAUAUGCUCUCUUUAAGGAAACAAACAAACAAAGCAAAAACACCAAUUCAUCUGGAUUUUAUUCAUUUGUUUUAAAUGCAAACAAACAAAAGGAGAGGGAGAAGUGGUUAUUUCUGCACCAACUAUUUCAAAUGCAAGUUACUCCAUUGCUCGGGGUGUUUGGAUGUGCUUGUCGCCAUAGGACCCACAGGGCUAGUUCCAACCGUUAUUCGUGCCUCAACCUGUCAUGGUGUUUUUUAAAUUUGCUAUUGAAUGUCACGUCCGUCAGGCACAUGGAUACUCGUGGGGUGCAGUGCUGGGCCCGAGGACUUCAGAGAG
rnacentral:lncRNA from 1 species